UUCUUUGUGUCAUGCAUCUGAGAUGGUUGUUUUGAGUAAUGGCUUCUCUUUCUGAUGCCUGAUGUAAGUAGCUGUGUUGUAGUUUUGAUCAAGUCUGCCAAAGACCCCGGGCCUCCAACACAGUAAGAAAGGUAGGCAGUUUGAAAUCCUUCUCGACAGUAUAUAGCUAAACAUACAAGGUAAAGUCAGGAUGAAAUUUUGAUUGUAACUGUGUUUUAAAUGAUGCUGGUAGUGCUGCCUGGAAUUAAGCUUGCCUCACGUUUCCCAUGAUAAGACCCUUUUUUCAGUGGCAUCUAACUUUGUCAGGUUUCAGUUGUUUGGGCUGAAACUUUUCAUGCUGAAUGUCUGCUUCAGAUGAAUUGGUUUGGAAAGCUUAAACAAAGAAAUGGUUUCACCAUUUCUGGGAAUGAAAUUAAGAGAAAAAUAUUUUCUUUUGCCAUGCCAACUUAAUUCUGGCGUUUCCCGGUGUAUGGCAACUGUUGAAUCGUGGCCUGAACCUCAGAUUGACCACCUGAGGCGAGCACUGAGUCAGCCGCAGAGGACACAGUUGAACACAGUUUCACCUGAGUGACCGGAAGACCCCAUGUAAGGGCUGACUCUUGGAGCCCUUUGGUGAGCCCACGACCAGGGUAAGCUCUUUAUUUCAUCAUGCCUUUGUAAUGUGGUAAUCUCUCUGGUCCUGUACCCGUAUACCUAUUUGCCUUACAAUCUGUUUACUUGUUUGCUGUACGCCUGGGUUUUGAGUGCUUGGGUCUGCAGCCUUGAUGGUUUUCUAUGUACAUUUAUGUUUCCUUCAGAAAAGGAAAGUUUGUAACAUAAUGCCUACAUACAUACAUUCAGAUAACUGAAGAAUGUUUAAGUUGAUGUGAAAACUGUAAACAAUAAACUUGCAUAAGAAGCGAUCAAUAUAUAUAUAUAUAUAGUAUAUAUAGUAAUAUAUCAGUGAUAGGUACCUCUUCUUUGGUCCUCCUUGUUUUACUAACACCCACGUGGUGUCUAGGACAUCUGGAAAUGUUGCUGGAGCCUUUGAGGCCCUAGUCUAUAUGUGUUCAUGCUGGAGGAACUGAAGCUGAAGCGGGGGAAGGAAGUAAUUUUUAACUCCUCCCUAAAUGCCAGUCACUGCCAGGGAGAAGUCAAUCUGGUAUAUGGCAUCUAAGAGAAAAUACAUGGAUACCUGUUACGAAACAGAGAUGCUGUCUCGCAGCUGCUGAGGCCUUUGUAGUGGCUCACAAAGAAAGGCCAAAAACGGGGACUGGAGAAGAACAGAAGAAGAGGCAUUCCAGGAAGCCAACUUAGCUGCUAAACAGGCCCAGGCACUGGGUAAUAUUCGAUCCUACCCUUACAGCUAAACUAGAUGCAUGCAACUCAAGAUGGGUUUGGCUAGCAUCUAUGGCAGUGCCAAAAUUCUGUUUGAACCCCAGUUGGGUUCUGGUCUUAAGUUUGGCACAGAGCAGAGGAAAGGUACGGUAUGAUUGCAAAGCAGUUAUUGACUGCUUAUUCUGCAUUACAGGUGACAGAGCCAAUAACUCAAACAUCUCCCGUCAUAGUUAAGACCACCCUGUCUUUCUGUCACUACAGGCAUCAUGUGUCAGCCACACGGGUACGGUGUUGAAGUGGAAAAAGCCUGCAGACCCUGGGAAAACCAUUGGGGGAGAGAGGAGAAGUGCCCUUUGAAGCAUUUGAUGCCCUGCUGGCAUCCAACACCAGCAUGGUCCUUUUCUCUCCUUUUCAGCCUUUUGCCAUCUCUCAGUGGUUGGUAAGUAAUAGCGCGCUUGCUUAGGGAGUUUCUGCUUCUCGCUUACUGGGAUUAUCUACUAUGGGUGCCUGUGUGUGUGUGUGUGUGUGUGUGUGUGUGUGUGUGUGAGGGUGUGUGUGAGGGUGUGUAUGCUGAAGUGAACUCACACAGAUGACACAGAAUGGUGGGGCUGGAAGGGACCUCAAGGAUCAUGAAGCUUCAACCCCGCUGCGGCAAUCAGGGCCACCAACCUCCACACUUAAUACCAGCCCAGGCUGCCCAGAGCCCCAUCCAACCUGGUCUUGAACAGCUCCAGGGAUGGACGGGGCAUACACAGCCUCCCUGGGCAGCUGUUUCAGCACCUCACCACUCUCACAGUAAAGAAUGUCCCCCUGACAUCCAACCUAAAUCUUCCCUCCUUCAACUUAAAACCAUUUCCCCUUGUUCUGCUGUUAUCUACCCUUUCAAAGAGUUGACUCCCCUCCUGUUUAUAGGCUUCCUUUAGGUACUGGAAGGAUGCAGUGGGGUCACCCCGCAGCCUUCUCUUCUCCAGGCUGAACAAGCCUGGCUCCCUCAGCCUGGCCUUCCUCUGGACCCUCUCCAACAGCUCUGUCUUUCUCGUAUUGGAGGCUCCAGACCUGGAUGCAGUACUCCAAAUGGGGCCUCAUGAGGGCAGAGUAGAGAAGGACAAUCACCUCCCUGUCCCUGCUGGCCACCCCUGUUCUGGUGGAGCCCAGAAAACUGGGCGACUCAUAACCCUCUGUGUUGCUCGCAGUGCAGUUUGCUUGCCUCUGCUCCUGUGUUGCUUUCAGCAACUAUGAUGUUGGCCACCUGUGUUAGCCCUAGCGCAAGCUGGCUAAUUACCUGGUCAGGACCAAAUGACGGCGGACGCACACCAGUAUGAUGAGCAGCAAAAUGGCGUUUAAUCACUACUAAACACAGCUUAUAUAUUUUUACCUAGCAACCGUGCUGGGGAGUGGUGUUGGGG
ensembl:lncRNA